UUCUUCCCCCGAGCCAGUGAGGAGGGAAUGAAGUCGGGAGCCGCAGCGCUGUGCCCGGCACUGGGAGGCAGGCUGUUUUUAAAAUCCCGGAUUCACUACAGGAGAUGUUUGAAUGGCCACCAGCUCAAGGUUGGCACCUCCGAAAAUAGGCUGUGUCAUGCUCUAUCAAUCACUAAUUAAGAAAAUGCUCUACAGGCUGGCCCACAUCCUGAUUAAAUAGGAAGCCUGAAGUGGUUUGAGAGCAAAUGGCCCUCAAAGGGAGUGGCACUAUUAGGAGGUGGAGCCUUGUUGGAGUAAGUGUGUUCUUGUUGGAGGAAAUGUGUUACUGUCGACAAGGACUUUGAGGUCUCAUCCACACUGAAGCCACACCCAGUGAGACAGACCACUUCCUGUUGCCUGCACAAGAUGUAGGACUCUCAGGUACUUCUCCAGCACCAUGUCUGCCUUCACACCAUCAUGUUGCACCAUCAAUGAUAAUGGACUAACCUCUGAAACUGAAACAAGUAAUGGUUCUUGGCAAAAUUAAUGAAGACCAGAUUUGAUUGGGGGAGACCUCCUGAAGACCUUGGUUACAGACAUGAAGAAAAAAAAAACAAGAAAAACUACAAGACAGGUGAUGUACAUGCCAAUUCCCUCUACAUGGGAACAGCUCUGAGACUGGAUAAGACAUGAUAAAUUUUAUUGGCUACAGAGUCAUAGAGACUUAUUACUAGAUGCCAUCCUUUCAUAUGGCAUGGAUAGAGGUUUGGUUAUACAAUCCAAACAGACUUAGAAAGUUAACAGAUGCCUUUUAUCUGCUCAGAGAACAAAAAAACACCUUUAGAUGACUUGUGCACACCAUACAUUCCAUACUUGUGUUAAUAUACACUCACACAUAUUUAUGCACAUAUACACACAGGUGUGUGUGAUAAGUGUGUGUAACCUUUAAAAGAUCAUGUGUUUUCAGAAGAAAAAGAACCAGACACCAAUGAAGACAAGUAGUCCAGGUGUUCCAGUCUCUUAGAAUGCUUCUGUUGCAGUUUCUUCAAAAUUCUACAUCCAGAACAAUUUCAAAGCUGCUAGCUGAGAUGGUCUAGCCUCACAGACUACUUCAACCAAGACUUCAGAUGAGCUCUGCACUUUCCCCUCACAGAGAAUAAACAAAAGUAAUACAGCUAGCUCUCCUAGGAUGUGACCAUUGUCCCAAUUUUCUCAGUGUUGUCUAGAGAUGCUGUUGCUCCCAGACAAUAGGAAGUAGCCUAGAGAACACAAUACCCACAUUCCCAAGAGGUGGGGUGGGUAAUCUUCGGUCAAUUGGUGGGUUAUGGAUGUGUGUCAUCAUAUAGGGGGAUGGUUACAAGUUGCUACUGGUCAUUGUCAGGAAAAACAAACAAACAAAGGAGAUUAGAUUCUGGGAUAUCUUUCUGAAAGGAAAAGUGGGGGAUUUGAUAUAGAAAUGAAGGGAUAAAAGGGUGAAUUGUUGAGUCUACUUUUGAACAACCACUAGUUUCAAAUAUUUUACAUUGUUGUUUUAGUAUAUUGAUACCAAUUUAAGGUUACUUUUGUUAUACUGUAUAUGUUUCUAUUCUUGUUUAAGGUAUUGUACCCAUACAGCUCACUCAAAAAUAUAAUGUAAAGUUCUAGUCUAUAGGCAGAAGUUUCUGUCCCUCCAGCAACUCCCAAAUACCCAGCAGCCGCUUCCCAAAUUAUUGACUUGUAGGCUUAAUAUUAAUUAUAAAUGCUCAGGCUUAUUACUAACUAGCUGUUAUGCUUAAAUUAACCCAUAAUUCUUAUCUAUGUUUAGCCACAUGACUUGGUAGCAUUUCUCAAUGUAGCAUUCUCAUCUUACUUCCUCUGCAUCUGGCUAGCUACUCCUGACUCUGCCCUUUCUCUUCCCAGAAUUCUCCUAGUCUGGAAGCCCCACCUAUACUUCCUGCCUGGCUACUGGCCAAUCAGGAUUAUAUUGAACCAAUUCUAGUGACAAAAUUUACAGUGUACAAGAGGAUCAUUCCAUAGCACUAGUCCUUGAAAGCUAUUUACGAUAAUAAAGAUAUACAAGUUAGUAGUUAGUCACCUAUAACAAUCAUACUUAUAGUCAUGUUAGGUAUGUUUUCAAGGUCAAACAGAGAUACAUUUCCAAUAAAUAAAUGGUCUUCAAACACUUCAAACACCUACAGAAUAUGCCAUUUAAAAUGUUUUAAUAACCUAAGGCUUUUCAUGACAGUGAGGCAUGUCUACUCCUGAGAGCACAAAUUUAUUUAAAAAGGGAGGAUAGGCAUCCUCCAUAUGUAUCCUCCAUACAUACUCUAUGUGGAGUUUGCUUUCAAUAGGGCAAAGCUAGUCAUUUGGGCAAGAAACUGCCCUUGCCUUGAGUGUUGACAGUAUGCUGUCCAAAUUGGACAAGAAGGACACAAAAAAGGUGGUUGCCAAACUUUGCCAAGACAAGGUGAAACAUUCCUUCAAAAAUUCCUACUUUGCAAAAAGUCUAUCAGAUAGCCUAGGCUUGUAGGCUGAAAUUGGAUGCCAUAACAUUGCAGAGGAACCUUGGGUUACUGCCCAGGAAGCCAGAUGUCUGUUGUUUCUAAAGCUUUGGAAGUUGCUUUCUCUGCACUUCCUGUUUAAUCGGGUAAUAUAUCCUUCUCAGAUCUCUGAUGGAGAUUGAAAACUAGAUAGUUAUACAGCCUUCUUUGUUAUCAAAUUCAGAAGAAAACUUACAUAAAAGGUGUAAAGUUUAUAAGGUUGAGAAACAUCAAAGCAUAAGUUUUUAAUCUAAGACAAUGUUUUUAGGUCUAAAAAGAUAUUCUAGGUUGGUAACACAAGUUAUGAUAAAAAGUGAAUUAGGUACAAAACUUUGGACUCACCAAGACAGGAUAGAUAAUGGAGUAUUUUCUCCAAAUUUUUCAAACACUAAUGGACUGGACAUUGUGAAUGUAAUUCUUACCUGCUAAUUGUUCUUAUUGUAUAUAGAUUUAUUGUGUUAGAGUUUAAAAAAAUUUCCCUUUUAUUUAGACAAAAAGGGGGAAAUGUUGUGGGAUGUUUGUACACUGUUUGAAGAUAUAUUGCUGUGAUUGGUAUAAUAAAGAGCUGAACAGUCAAUAGCUUGGCAGGAGGUAUAGGCGGGACUUCUAGGCAGAGAGAGAAGAAGUGGAAGAUGAAUCCAUGUAUGCAAGAGACAUUAAGAGACACAGAGAGGAAACAGGAGGUGGGAGAUGGAAGAGAGGUAAUGCCACGUGAUAGAAGGUAGAUUAACAUAAAUGAAUUAAUUUAAGUUAUAAGAGCUAAUUAUGAUAAGCCUAAGCUAUAGGCCAAGUUUUCAUAAUUAAUAAUAAGUCUCUAUGUUGUUAGUUGUGAGCUGGUAGUCCCAACAAAAAAUUACUGCUGCAGGAUGCUGUGAAGGUGAAGCCUGGAUGUGGUGGUAUUGUGUUCCCCAAAAUAUUGUGCAUGCUAAUAAACUUAUCUGGGGUCAGAGAACAGGACAGGCACAAUAUUAAACACAGUCAGUGGUAGCACACACCUUUAAUCCUAGCAUUCCAGAGGCAGAAAUCCCUCUGGAUCUCUGUGAGUUCAAGGCCACAUUGGAAACAGCCAGGCAUGGUGACUCAUGCCUUUAAUCCCAGAAAGUGAACCUUUAAUCCCAGGGAGUAAGGCAGAAAGCAGAAAGAUAUAUAAAGCAUGAGGACCAGAAACAAGAAGCAUUUGGCUGGUUAAGUUUUCAGGCUUUUGAGUAGCAGUUCAGCUGAGAUUCAUUCUGGAUGAGGACUCAAGAGGCUUCCAGUCUGAGGAAACAGGCCCAGCUGUGGAACUGGCAAGUUGAGGUAGCUGUGGCUUGUUCUGUCUCUCUGAUCUUCCAGCUUUCACUCCAAUACCUGGCUCAGGUUUGAUUUUAUUAAUAAGACCUUCUAAGACUUUUGCUACACCUGGAUUGCCUUGGAGACCCCAAGAUGUCGGAGAUGCCAGAGGCAUGGGAUACCUGCUGAGGAGAGCUGCUAACAGGGAGUGGAACCAGCCCAAGAGAAAGAAGUAUGUUGUAGUCAAUAAAGCUGAAAAGAAAAUGGAGAUCUGAAGAAUGUUUUGACAUCAGACAUGGAGAUGCAGAGUUUGGAAUUUGCCCAGCUGGCUUUUGGUCUUGCUUUGGUCCAGUAUUUCCUCACUUUCCUAGCUGCUCUAUCUUUUAGAAUGGUGAUUUAUAUACAGUGCCAUUAUAUGUUGGAAGUAUAUGAUGUGCUUUUGGUUUUGAUUUUUAUAGGGGAUUACAUUAAGAGAUUGCAUUAAUCUCAGAAGAGACUUUGAACUUUGACUUUAAAAUAAAUUUGAGACUGUUAUAGACUACGA